rnacentral:rRNA from 1 species
GACGAACGCUGGCGGCGUGCUUAACACAUGCAAGUCGAGCGGAAAGGCCCUUCGGGGUACUCGAGCGGCGAACGGGUGAGUAACACGUGAGUAACCUGCCCCAGACUUUGGGAUAACCCUCGGAAACGGGGGCUAAUACCGGAUACGACACAGCUUCGCAUGGGGUCUGUGUGGAAAGUUUUUCGGUUUGGGAUGGGCUCGCGGCCUAUCAGCUUGUUGGUGGGGUGAUGGCCUACCAAGGCGACGACGGGUAGCCGGCCUGAGAGGGCGACCGGCCACACUGGGACUGAGACACGGCCCAGACUCCUACGGGAGGCAGCAGUGGGGAAUAUUGCACAAUGGGCGGAAGCCUGAUGCAGCGACGCCGCGUGGGGGAUGACGGCCUUCGGGUUGUAAACCUCUUUCAGCAGGGACGAAGCGUAAGUGACGGUACCUGCAGAAGAAGCGCCGGCCAACUACGUG